rnacentral:rRNA from 1 species
CGUACGAUACGUAGUUUGAUCAUGGCUCAGAACGAACGCUGGCGGCAGGCCUAACACAUGCAAGUCGAGCGAUCCUUUCGGGGAUAGCGGCGGACGGGUGAGUAACGCGUGGGAACGUACCCUUUGCUACGGAAUAGCCUCGGGAAACUGGGAGUAAUACCGUAUGUGCCCUUCGGGGGAAAGAUUUAUCGGCAAAGGAUCGGCCCGCGUUGGAUUAGGUAGUUGGUGGGGUAAUGGCCUACCAAGCCGACGAUCCAUAGCUGGUUUGAGAGGAUGAUCAGCCACACUGGGACUGAGACACGGCCCAGACUCCUACGGGAGGCAGCAGUGGGGAAUCUUAGACAAUGGGGGCAACCCUGAUCUAGCCAUGCCGCGUGAGUGAUGAAGGCCCUAGGGUUGUAAAGCUCUUUCAGCUGGGAAGAUAAUGACGGUACCAGCAGAAGAAGCCCCGGCUAACUCCGUG